rnacentral:piRNA from 1 species
UUGUGGUAUAUACUGAUGGAU